rnacentral:lncRNA from 1 species
GGCUGGGGCAGGCCCUGGUUUAAAUUAGCGCCGUCCUGUCCAAUCUGACAGUAGCGACAUGAACCUGCGCUGUCUGAAUCUGCCGCCCAGAUAGGGACUGGAAGGGACUGGGAAUGCCGAGAUUGUUUUCCUUCGGACCCUAUGGAAGCCCACACGGUGGGGAUUGUCUGCGGUGACAGCCCUAACACUUCCCAGAGCCGAGGACCCCAGUAUAGAAAUGGCAUUGCCCACCCUGAAAGUGAGAAGAAAGAAGCAUUUUCUCCAGUACCUGGAAGGGUUCCUGAUGCCUGAAAAGGCUUGGAUUGUAUUGAGCUGGGGUUUGUUUGUGCUCAAGGAAGAAAAAUCUCUCUGGAAAUGCCAAACCUGACCUCAGUUGUACAAAAUUUAGUGAAGAAAUGGUGGUGAUGAUGAUGAUAACGAUGAUGAUGAUGAAAAUGAAGCAGAAGAGGAAGAAGAAAAAGAAGAAAAAGAGGAAGAAGAGGAAGAAGAGAGACAGAAAAUCUGGUUCAAAUCUAUUGACUCCUUUUGAGCAAGUUAUUCUCUAGGCCUCAGUUUCUUUGUCUGUCGUAGAAGACUGGCUCACAAAUCUCUAAAGCCAGAUUCACAUAUAUGACUGUUUGCUGGCCAUAUUUUUGAACUCUUCCUUGUCUUCUAAAAAAAAAAAAUCAAAACAAAAAAAGUAGAUCCUUUGCAUUUACUUUGUACAUAUUUUACAUUUAUUAAUCUAUAAAUAUGUUGUCCUCUCUCUCCCAGCAAAACGAAGUUUUUUGAAGGCAGGCAUUCUUUUUUCAUUUUUGUGUUUUUUUUUUUUAUCCCUGACACAUAGUAUAGUGCCUUCUACACAGUAGGUACUUAAUAAAUGCUUGUUGAAUUGAAC